GAUGAACGCUGGCGGCGUGCCUAAUACAUGCAAGUCGAGCGGACGGACGAUAAGCUUGCUUCUCUGAUGUUAGCGGCGGACGGGUGAGUAACACGUGGAUCACCUACUUAUAAGUCUGGGAUAACUUCGGGAAACCGUAGCUAAUACCGGAUAAUAUUUUGAACCGCAUGGUUCAAAAGUUAAAGACGGCCUUGCUGUCACUUAUAGAUGGUUCCGCGCUGCAUUAGCUAGUUGGUAAGGUAACGGCCUACCAAGGCAACGAUGCAUAGCCGACCUGAGAGGAUGAUCGGCCACACUGGAACUGAGACACGGUCCAGACUCCUACGGGAGGCAGCAGUAGGGAAUGUUCCGCAAUGGGCGAAAGCCUGACGGAGCAACGCCGCGUGAGUGAUGAAGGUCUUCGGAUCGUAAAGCUCUGUUAUUAGGGAAGAACAUAUGUGUAAGUAACUGUGCACAUCUUGACGGUACCUAAUCAGAAAGCAACGGCUAACUACGUG
rnacentral:rRNA from 1 species